rnacentral:rRNA from 1 species
GGGGACCCGCAAGCGGUGGAUGAUGUGGAUUAAUUCGAUGCAACGCGAAAAACCUUACCUACCCUUGACAUGUACGGAAGGCCGGAGAGAUCUGGCUGUGCUCGAAAGAGAGCCGUAACACAGGUGCUGCAUGGCUGUCGUCAGCUCGUGUCGUGAGAUGUUGGGUUAAGUCCCGCAACGAGCGCAACCCUUGUCAUUAGUUGCUACAUUUAGUUGAGCACUCUAAUGAGACUGCCGGUGACAAACCGGAGGAAGGUGGGGAUGACGUCAAGUCCUCAUGGCCCUUAUGGGUAGGGCUGCACACGUCAUACAAUGGUACAUACAGAGGGCCGCCAACCCGCGAGGGGGAGCUAAUCCCAGAAAGUGUAUCGUAGUCCGGAUCGCAGUCUGCAACUCGACUGCGUGAAGUUGGAAUCGCUAGUAAUCGCGGAUCAGCAUGUCGCGGUGAAUACGUUCCCGGGUCUUGUACACACC